AGCGAACGCUGGCGGCGUGCUUAACACAUGCAAGCCGAACGUGAAAGGGAGCAAUCCCAAGUAAAGUGGCGUACGGGUGAAUAACGCGUAGGUAAUCUACCCCAAAAUCUGAAUAACUUGCCGAAAGGCGGGCUAAUACUGGAUAGAGCGAUGGAAUCCGUAAUUGGGUUUUUCGGGAAAGGGAGGCAGCAAUGCCCCUCGUUUUGGGAUGAGCCGGCGUUUCAUUAGCUAGUUGGCGAGGUAAUAGCUCACCAAGGCUUUGAUGGGUAGCUGGUCUGAGAGGAUGAUCAGCCACACUGGAACUGAAACACGGUCCAGACUCCUACGGGAGGCAGCAGUGGGGAAUCUUGCGCAAUGGACGAAAGUCUGACGCAGCCACGCCGCGUGAGUGAAGAAGGCCUUCGGGUUGUAAAGCUCUGUCGGGCGGGACGAAAAUGCAUUAAGUGAAUAGCUUAGUGUACUGACGGUACCGCCAAAGGAAGCACCGGCUAACUCCGUGCCAGCCGCCGCGGUAA
rnacentral:rRNA from 1 species